GGAAUGGCGACCGUAAAUGCACAAGUCAUGACUCACUAACCCAAAACAAUUCUCAUAUCUGAGGGUUCACUAUAAAUAGAUUAGAGACUCCCACACCCAAAAAUGGCAGCCGUAGUAUCAUCCUUGGCCGCCUCCAUUUCUUCUUUUCUAGUUCCUCCUUUUCCUUCUUCUUCUUCUUCCUUAUUUUUCACAAAAUUCAGGUCAGCACCAUUUCUUAGAUUCUCUUUUGCAGUUG
rnacentral:misc_RNA from 1 species